UUUGAAGAGAAAUUUCUGGAAUCUGCAAAAGAUUUGGAAAAGUUAAGAAAUGAUGGGAGUUUGUUCUUCCAGCAAGUGCCAAUGGUUGAGAUUGACGGGAUGAAGCUGAUGCAGACCAGAGCCAUUCUCAACUACAUUGCCAGCAAAUACAACCUGUGUGGGAAAGACAUAAAGGAGAGAGCCGUCGAAAUGUAUACAGAAGGUAGGGCAGGUUUGAGUGAAAAGCUUCUUCAUUGCUCAUUGCAUCCACCUGAGGAAAAAGAUGCAAAGCUUGCCCUGAUCAGAGGGAACAACAAGCCAUUAUUUUCCUGUCUUUGAAACUGUGUUGAAGAGCCAUGGACAAGACUACCUCGUUGGCCACAAGCUGAGCCGGGCUGACAUUCACCUGGUCAAACUUCUCUACCACGUGGAAGAGCUUGACACCAGCCUCAUCUCCAACUUCCCUCUGCUGAAGGCCCUGAAAAUCAGAAUCAGCAAACUCCCCACAGUGAAGAAGUUUUUGCAGCCUGGCAGCCUGAGGGAGCUUCCCAUAAAUGCGAAAGGUUUAGAAGAAGCAACAAAGAUUUUCAAGGUUUGA
rnacentral:lncRNA from 1 species